rnacentral:piRNA from 1 species
ACUCUGUGUGGAUACAUAUGCAU